GGUUCGCCUGGGGAUCUAGUGGCGCACGGGUGAGUAGCGCGUGGGAACCUGCCCUGAUGUGGGGGAUAACCGAGGGAAACUUCGGCUAAUACCGCAUACGCCCGGGGGUAACUCCGGGGAAAGAUUUAUCGCUUCAGGAGGGGCCCGCGUCGGAUUAGCUAGUUGGUGGGGUAACGGCCUACCAAGGCAGUGAUCCGUAGCUGGUCUGAGAGGAUGAUCAGCCACACUGGGACUGAGACACGGCCCAGACUCCUACGGGAGGCAGCAGUGGGGAAUAUUGGACAAUGGGCGCAAGCCUGAUCCAGCAAUGCCGCGUGAGUGAGGAAGGCCUUAGGGUUGUAAAGCUCUUUCACCCACGACGAUGAUGACGGUAGUGGGAGAAGAAGCCCCGGCUAACUUCGUGCCAGCAGCCGCGGUAAUACGAAGGGGGCGAGCGUUGUUCGGAUUUACUGGGCGUAAAGGGCGCGCAGGCGGCGGACCAAGUCAGGCGUGAAAGCCCCGGGCUCAACCUGGGAACUGCGUUUGGGACUGGUUUGCUAGAGAUCGGGAGAGGAGAGUGGAAUUCCCAGUGUAGA
rnacentral:rRNA from 1 species